CAAUAGCGUAUAUUUAAGUUGUUGCAGUUAAAAAGCUCGUAGUUGGAUUUCGGGUGGGACGCAGCGGUCUCGCAUUGCGUUUGUACUGCUGCAGCCCUCCUUCUUGCCGGGGGCGGCCUCUCGGACUUCACUGUCUGGGGGUCAGAAUCGGCGAUGUUACUUUGAGUAAAUUAGAGUGUUCAAAGCAAGCUUACGCUCUGAAUAUAAUAGCAUGGGAUAAUAAGAUAGGACUCUGGCCUAUCGUGUUGGUCUAUAGGACCAGAGUAAUGAUUAAGAGGGACAGUCGGGGGCAUUCGUAUUCCGUUGUCAGAGGUGAAAUUCUUGGAUUUACGGAAGACGAACAUCUGCGAAAGCAUUUGCCAAGGAUGUUUUCAUUGA
rnacentral:rRNA from 1 species